UAUGAGAGGGUGGCGGAAUUUCCGGUGUAGCGGUGAAAUGCGUAGAGAUCGGAAGGAACGUCAAUGGCGAAGGCAGCCACCUGGCAUAAUACUGACGCUGAGGUGCGAAAGCGUGGGGAUCGAACAGGAUUAGAUACCCUGGUAGUCCACGCUGUAAACUAUGAGUACUAGAUGUUGGUAGGGGAACCUAUCAGUAUCGAAGCUAACGCGAUAAGUAUUCCGCCUGGGAAGUACGGCCGCAAGGUUGAAACUCAAAUGAAUUGACGGGGGCCCGCACAAGCGGUGGAGCAUGUGGUUUAAUUCGAUGCAACGCGAAGAACCUUACCUACCCUUGACAUCCUAGGAAUCUGACUUAGUAGUUGGAGUGCCGAAAGGAACCUAGAGACAGGUGCUGCAUGGCUGUCGUCAGCUCGUGUUGUGAGAUGUUGGGUUAAGUCCCGUAACGAGCGCAACCCUUGCCCUUAGUUGCCAUCAUUUAGUUGGGGACUCUAAGGGGACCGCCAGUGAUGAACUGGAGGAAGGCGGGGACGACGUCAAGUCAUCAUGGCCUUUAUGGGUAGGGCCACACACGUGCUACAAUGGGACAUACAGAGGGUCGCGAACCUGCGAAGGGGAGCCAAUCUCAUAAAGUGUCUCGUAGUCCGGAUUGGAGUCUGCAACUCGACUCCAUGAAGUUGGAAUCGCUAGUAAUCGCGAAUCAGCAUUGUCGCGGUGAAUACGUUCCCGGGCCUUGUACACACCGCCCGUCACGUCAUGGAAGUGGAUGGUACCAGAAGCGGGUAGCUUAACUGCAAAGAGAGCGCUUGCCACGGUAUGAUUCAUGACUGGGACGAAGUCGUAACAAGGUAACC
rnacentral:rRNA from 1 species